GUUUUCAUUGUUCAUCUUUUGGAGGAGACUCACCAUGAUCAGACCUGUCUUCAUUAUCACUGUACCACUAUUCUGGAUCACAGGUGUGUCUCUCAGUAAUGAAGUGUACCAGUCUCCUUCUAAGAUCCUGGUAAAGCCUGAUGGUUUUUCCACACUCAACUGCAGUCACAAAAUAUCCAACUAUGACACCAUCCUCUGGUACCAUCGUUCAGUGGGAGACACAGCUCUCAAACUCAUUGGAUACUCUUUUUAUAAAGACCCUAAAGUUGAACCCUCAUAUCAAAUAUAUUUUAACAUGUCAGGCGAUGGAAGGAGUGAGGCCUUCCUUCAUCUUUUCAACCUGAGACUGACAGAAGACAGUGGGGAGUAUUUCUGUGCUGCUAGUCAACACAGUGGUUCACAGUCCCAGUCUACUGUACAAAAACCCUAUCAGAUCCAGCACACUCUGUUCCGUGUGAGGGAAGGUAAAAAGAGAUUGAGACAAAAAGAGGUUGUGCGGAGUGUACAUGUCUCGUAAAUCAAAGUCACUGUGAUGAUGUCAUAUCCUCUGUCUACAUCUACACGUGUCUCCUUUCUGUCUCAGUGUACCUGACCCAAUGAUCCUCACUGUCUGUUUCAUUUCAUUGUCUUGUGCUAAGGCACACUGUUUCACUAGCAAUUGUGUCAAAUUUGGGUACAUGAAAAACCUGUUC